rnacentral:rRNA from 1 species
UGGGGAAUUUCCCGCAAUGGGCGAAAGCCUGACGGAGCAAUGCCGCGUGGAGGUGGAAGGCCUACGGGUCGUCAACUUCUUUUCUCGGAGAAGAAACAAUGACGGUAUCUGAGGAAUAAGCAUCGGCUAACUCUGUGCCAG